AUUAACUGAAUCAACAAAUAUAUACCAGCAUGUACCAUGUUCAGACUUUGAAGUAGAUUCUGAGGAUGCAAAGGUGACCAAAGCAUUGACCCUUCCCCAUGAGCAUGCUCAACUGAGACAGAGGCAGACAUAUACAGAGAUCACUAUAAGGUUAUGUCCUCAAUUAUUAUGCAUAUCAGAAUCACCUGGGCAACUGCUACAAUUGCAAUUCUUGGUCCUGCAUCCAGAGAUUCUAAUUUGCUCAGUCUGGGUGGGGGCCUGAGAACUCCGUAUUUAGUGUCUUGCAGGUGAUUCUGAUGAACACCAAAACUUGAGACACUGACAUAAAAUUUUAUGGGAGCACCAAGGAUUACCCAAGCCAACUAGGACAGCCAGUACAAAGGAAGUACUAUGCGAGCUGGUUAAAGAAGAAGGAAUCGGAGUUAGCAGACAAAGGCCAGGUGGAGGGUUAGAUUCCCAAAAAGUAUUGGCAGCCUACAGAAGAAAUCCUUAAACCUGGAGUCAGAACUGUAAAUUGAAUCCUGGUGCUGCAGUGGCUGCUAUGUGAGUUUGAAUAAGUCACUUAGACUCUGAGUCUCAGUUUCUAUAGAAAUGGUAUCUAUCCCACAACAUUGUUGAAAGAAUGGUUUUUAUUCAACAAAUUCUUCAGCCUACUGUAUGCUAAGCAUUGACUAUAGAUAUUGAAAAUAGAAUUUUUAAAACAUUGAUCCCUGUCUUCAUUGAAUUCAGAGUCUGGUGGGAAAACAGUAGAUAGCAAAGAUUUAUAAAGUCAUGUAGUACUUUCUAUAGAUGAAGUUAUGGGGAGAAACAAAUGGAAAAGAAGCACAAAAGAGGGAGCUUAAAGCAGUGGGUUAAGAGUGCAUAAGAUCCAGAAAGGUUAAGUUUGAGAAGAUUCUUAAAAGACAAGAUUCAUACCACACCACUGCAUCACCCAUAAAAAUCAAUUAAAAUUCUUAGAUAAAAAUUAGAAAAGAUUAAUUUGCUCUAAAUUGAUAUAUAAAUUAAUCAAGGCCUAUGUCUAUAUAAAAUAAACUCAAUUUAGGGGCCAGCCCAGUGGCAUAGUGGUUAAGUUCAUGUGCUCUGCUUCAGCGGCCUGGGGCUCACAGGUUUGUAUCCCAGGCACAGACCUAGCACCACUUGUCAAGCCAUGCUGUGGCAGCAUCCCACAUAAAAUAGAAGAAGAUUGGCACAGAUGUUAGCUCAGUAACAAUCUUCCUCAAGCAAAAAAAAGAAAAGAGGAAGAUUGGCAACAGAUGUUAGCCCAGGGCCAAUCUUCCUCACCAAAAAAAAAAAAAAAAAAAAAAAAACCAUUAUUUUUCAAAAUAAAAUAAAAAUAAAUAAAUAAAUAAAUUCAAUUUAAAGUUUCAUUCAAAAUCACACAGUUGAUGGUGGAAUUAAAAUUAGGCCAAUAAAAUUCAACCAGACCAAGAAAAUGCCAGCUGAUGUGGCACCUCCUAUAUGCCUAGCAAUGUUAAAAGAAAAGCAGGUAUUAACAGAAAUUUAUGAUUCAUAUUUUUACCCUCGAGGAAUUACACUAUUCCAGUCAGCAAGAUUUAUAUACGUAAAAUUAUUCAAAAUGUAAAAUAAGUUUGGAUUCAACACAAUGCCAAAAAGACAUUAUAUAACACAGCUGGUCUGAAAGCAAAGAGAAACAGGGCUGUCUGGAUUUACUGAGGAAGAUUUUAAGGAAAAUGUGGCACCAAGAAUAGGAUUUAUCAGCUAUAAAUAAGUCAAGAGAAAGGAGGCUGGCAUUCCAAGUAAUUGACAUGGUGAAGACACAAAAUAGAUGCGCAUGGAAUAUGGAUGACAGAAAAUACAAUGGAUCAACUUGAGUAGAUUUAGGCCCUGAGGAUCAGGAAUUUGAAUUAUCAUAGACAUAUCCUUAAUGCCAAAGAAAGAAGAACCCCUGAACUCUAGUUUAGUAAUAUUUUCAUUAAACCAUGGAAUCAACUCUUUUUCUCUCUACCAAAAUUAGAUGCUUAAGUCCACAACAAAAAAUGAGAGAAAGAAAGAAAAGAGCCCUACAGUAUUCCCCAAGAGAAAUGUAACACAGAAAGGGUCAAUCUAGAAUACAGUGGCAGAUUUCUCUGGAACACUACCCUCCCUAGUUACCCUUCAGAUAAACUCCACAAAGAGCAUUUUGACACAAAAACUUGUCUCAUUAUGGCUAAAUUGUGCAUACCAUAUUUGAAAAAAGUAUAUUUCCAUAAAAACAUUUUGUAAUGAACACACUCUUUUGAUAUCAUGACAACAUUCUC
ensembl:lncRNA